UGAUGAACGCUGGCGGCGUGCCUAACACAUGCAAGUCGAACGAAGCUUGACGGAUGAUUUCUUCGGAAUGAAACCAGAUAUGACUUAGUGGCGGACGGGUGAGUAACACGUGAGCAACCUGCCUUUCAGAGGGGGAUAACGGCUGGAAACGGUCGCUAAUACCGCAUGAUGUGUUCGGAUGGCAUCAUCUGAACAUCAAAGAUUUAUCGCUGAAAGAUGGGCUCGCGUCUGAUUAGAUAGUUGGUGGGGUAACGGCCUACCAAGUCGACGAUCAGUAGCCGGACUGAGAGGUUGAACGGCCACAUUGGGACUGAGAUACGGCCCAGACUCCUACGGGAGGCAGCAGUGGGGAAUAUUGCACAAUGGGGGAAACCCUGAUGCAGCAACGCCGCGUGAAGGAUGACGGUUUUCGGAUUGUAAACUUCUUUUCUUAGUGACGAAGACAGUGACGGUAGCUAAGGAAUAAGCAUCGGCUAACUACGUGCCAGCAGCCGCGGUAAUACGUAGGAUGCAAGCGUUAUCCGGAUUUACUGGGUGUAAAGGGAGCGCAGGCGGGACUGCAAGUUGGAUGUGAAAUACCGUGGCUUAACCACGGAACUGCAUCCAAAACUGUAGUUCUUGAGUGAAGUAGAGGCAAGCGGAAUUCCGAGUGUAGCGGUGAAAUGCGUAGAUAUUCGGAGGAACACCAGUGGCGAAGGCGGCUUGCUGGGCUUUAACUGACGCUGAGGCUCGAAAGUGUGGGGAGCAAACAGGAUUAGAUACCCUGGUAGUCCACACUGUAAACGAUGAUAGCUAGGUGUGGGGGGUCUGACCCCUUCCGUGCCGGAGUUAACGCAAUAAGCUAUCCACCUGGGGAGUACGACCGCAAGGUUGCAACUCAAAUGAAUUGACGG
rnacentral:rRNA from 1 species